UUGCUCCAGUGUGCGGUGCUCGCAAGCGAGCAUGGCUCGGCGACUCACAACGGCGAGGGCGAUCAACGACGAGCCAACGUGGUGGUGGGGCUGCACACACUGGGAGACCCGACGGCAGCGGCGCGAGAUUGUUGCUGCACACCCGGCUGGGCGAGCGAGAUGGCUCCGAGCGCGACAUCGAGGGCGGGCGAGAUCAGAGAUGAAGGCGCGGCGUUUGACGGCCUGUACGACGAGGUAGAGAUCGAUGGAGGAGCUCGACAACCGAACAAGCAGGAGGGGACGCUGGCGCGGGGACAGCAAGGACGUGCCAACGCGAUGAGCUUGGAUGACGGCGCUCGCUGCAGUCUAGCGAAGAGGACUCCGGCACCAGGAAACCAACAAUUUGGGCGUCCACGAGGUGAGCGCGCUGGGGAGGUUGAGCAAGAAGAGAGCACGGCUGUUGCUGGUCUCCUUCCUAUGCCCGAACGCAGCUCAGACUCGCGGCGACGAGUAGAGAUCGUGUCGAGGCGGACGACUGCGAGCGCGCAAGCACGCGGCGCGGCGGCAGUUGCGUGGCUGUGGCCUGAGCGGACACGAGCGUAGCAAGAGGGAAAGGGUGGGGGCUAUUUGGGCGCAUGAGAGAGAGGAGUUGGGCAAGUGAU
rnacentral:misc_RNA from 1 species